UAAAGAAGAAUAGUUAAAAAAAAAAUCACUUCGAACAUGAAUGUCCGAUUGACAAACGAUAUGUUUCCAAUUCAAAGGAUCGAAAUCGAUUCGAGAUCGGUUCCGUGAGAAAGCAGGAAUGCGAACAGCAUUUCGAUCGCUGUUCGUGGAAA